AGGGUGUGCCCGGCAUCUCCGAGGCUCUGGUGGACAGCCGGUUGACCAAGGCCCAGUUGGCGCUGUACUGCAGGCGGAGGACCCGUGGAGAGGAGGCCACCAUCCGCCAGGUGGAGGCCCUGCUGCAGGAGCUGAUGGGGGACAAAGGCAGGGACCUGCUGGGUGUUCCCCUCCUGGACCGGGUGAGGAUGGAGCACAUCUGGCGGGUUCAGAAGAGGCACGUCAAGUGCAUCCAGGACCUGCCAGGUGUGCCUCUGUACACAAAGACCGGCACCACCACCACCAAGGACGGCGUCGUCCUCACCAAAUACAGGUGUGCGCGAGGUUCAACGUCACUGGAGUCCUUCCACUGCCACCUGAACCGCUUUAUUCCAGGUGAUUUUAAUGACAUCACCAGCGUCUAACACACUGACGACCA
ensembl:lncRNA